UACGGAGGAUCCGAGCGUUAUACGGAUUUAUUGGGUUUAAAGGGUGCGUAGGCGGCCUGUUAAGUCAGGGGUGAAAGACGGUAGCUCAACUAUCGCAGAGCCCUUGAUACUGAUGGGCUUGAAUCGGCUAGAGGUAGGCGGAAUGUGACAAGUAGCGGUGAAAUGCAUAGAUAUGUCACAGAACACCGAUUGCGAAGGCAGCUUACUAUGGCCGUAU
rnacentral:rRNA from 1 species